rnacentral:misc_RNA from 1 species
GAUGAAGAACGCAGCGAAAUGCGAUAAGUAAUGUGAAUUGCAGAAUUCAGUGAAUCAUCGAAUCUUUGAACGCACCUUGCACCCUUUGGCAUUCUGAAGGGUAUGCUCGUUUGAGUGUCAUUGUACUCUCACACUCCCGAUCUUUGCAUUGGGAGCAGUGGACUUGGGUUUGCUGCUUCACCGUCGCUUACCUCAAAUAGGUUAGUGCAACUCUUGGUUGGACAUAGUACGGCGUGAUAAGUGUUCUUCGCCGGUGCCUCGCAAAGAGGGUGGCCGAUCGGGAUGUUGUGCUCCAAACCGUCUUCGGACAAUCUCUGACGACUUGACCUCAAAUCGAGUAAGACUACCCGCUGAACUUAAGCAUACAAUAAGCGGAGGA